rnacentral:rRNA from 1 species
AAGGAUUAUAUUUAAAAUUAAAAUAUUUGGCGGCUAUUUAUAUUAAAGGGAUUUGCUUUUUAUCGAUUUACCUCGUUUAUUAUUAUUUAGUUUAUUUUUGUAUACCGUCAUUUAGAUAAUUUUUAUAAAAUUAAUUAUGGUAAUAAUUUAAUAUAUAUUAGAUCAAGGUGCAGAUAUAAUUAAUUUAUAGUUAAUGACAAUAAUUUAUUAUUAUACAGAAUUUAUGUAAUUGGUUUAAAUAGGAGGAUUUAAUUGUAAUAAAAAAUAUUUGAAAUUAGGAUUAGUAGUGUACACAUCGCCCGCACCUCUC